AACGAACGCUGGCGGCAGGCCUAACACAUGCAAGUCGAACGAGUAAGAGCCGUAGCAAUACGGAGUUCUGCUAGUGGCGCACGGGUGAGUAACGCGUGGGAACGUGCCUUGGAGUUCGGGAUAACAGUUGGAAACGACUGCUAAUACCGAAUAUUCCCUCAGGGGGAAAGAUUUAUCGCUCCAAGAUCGGCCCGCGUAAGAUUAGGUAGUUGGUGGGGUAAUGGCCUACCAAGCCUACGAUCUUUAGCUGGUCUGAGAGGACGACCAGCCACACUGGAACUGAGACACGGUCCAGACUCCUACGGGAGGCAGCAGUGGGGAAUAUUGGACAAUGGGCGAAAGCCUGAUCCAGCCAUGCCGCGUGAAUGAUGAAGGCCUUAGGGUUGUAAAAUUCUUUUGCAGGGGGUAAGAUAAUGACGGUACCCUGCGAAUAAGCUCCGGCUAACUUCGUGCCAGCAGCCGCGGU
rnacentral:rRNA from 1 species